CUUAAAUUGAAGAGUUUGAUCAUGGCUCAGAUUGAACGCUGGCGGCAGGCCUAACACAUGCAAGUCGAGCGGAAACGAGUUAUCUGAACCUUCGGGGGACGAUAACGGCGUCGAGCGGCGGACGGGUGAGUAAUGCCUAGGAAAUUGCCCUGA
rnacentral:rRNA from 1 species